UACGGAGGGGGCUAGCGUUGUUCGGAAUUACUGGGCGUAAAGCGCGCGUAGGCGGACCUGCAAGUCGGGGGUGAAAGCCCGAGGCUCAACCUCGGAACUGCCUUCGAUACUGCGGGUCUCGAGUCCGGGAGAGGUGAGUGGAAUUCCUAGUGUAGAGGUGAAAUUCGUAGAUAUUAGGAAGAACACCAGUGGCGAAGGCGGCUCACUGGCCCGGUACUGACGCUGAGGCGCGAAAGCGUGGGGGAGCAAACAG
rnacentral:rRNA from 1 species